rnacentral:rRNA from 1 species
UACGUAGGUGGCAAGCGUUGUCCGGAUUUACUGGGCGUAAAGAGCGCGCAGGCGGUCGUUCAAGUCGCGUGUGAAAGCCCCCGGCUCAACUGGGGAGGGUCACGCGAUACUGAUCGACUGGAAGGCAGGAGAGGGUAGUGGAAUUCCCGGUGUAGUGGUGAAAUGCGUAGAUAUCGGGAGGAACACCAGUGGCGAAGGCGACUACCUGGCCUGUUCUUGACGCUGAGGCGCGAAAGCAUGGGGGAGCAAACAGG